rnacentral:rRNA from 1 species
AGUGAACGCUGGCGGUAGGCCUAACACAUGCAAGUCGAACGGCAGCACAGUAAGAGCUUGCUCUUACGGGUGGCGAGUGUCGGACGGGUGAGGAGUACAUCGGCAUCUGCUUUUUCGUGGGGGAUCACGUAGGUAAACUUACGCUACUACCGCUUAUGCCCUACGGGUGAAAGCAGGCGAUCGUCGGACCUUUCGCGAUUGAAUUAGCCUAUGACGGAUUAGCGAGUUGGCGGGGUGAAGGCCCACCAAGGCGACGCUCCGUCGCUGGUCGGAGAGGAUGAUCAGCAACCGAGAAGUGAGGCACGGUCCAGACUCCUACGGGAGGCAGCAGUGGGGAAUAUUGGACAAUGGGCGAAAGCCUGAUCCAGCAAUACCGCGUGGGUGAAGAAGGCGUUCGGGUUGUAGAGCCAUUUUGUUGGGCAAGAAAAGCAGCAGGUUAAUAACCCGCGGUUCUGACGGUACCCAAAGAAUAAGCACCGGCUAACUUCGUG